rnacentral:misc_RNA from 1 species
GGUUUCCGUAGGUGAACCUGCGGAAGGAUCAUUACUGAGAGGUUAAAAACCACUAGUGGGAAAUCUUUCCCUCUAGUUCCUCACAGUUUUGUGCAAAGUCGGGUCAACCUAGUUGGCUCUGCCUUGUGCCUUGGAUCUGGAGUUGUAGGACAUAGAGACCCUCCUUUUAGGAGACUUAUGGCCUACUAAAGGAUCUAGGCUGCUUAAGACAUAUGAGACGUAUGGACCCUUCUUUCAGGAGACCUAUGUCUUGAGUCAAAGCAAGCAAGGCAAGCCUUUGGGGCUCUAGUGGUCUUUAGUACUUACUAUCCCCAAGGGUGUUUAUUCUUCUCGUGUAAACCAUGAUGUACGAAGAAAGUUAGUUGUUAACUUGAAAACAACUCUUGGCAAUGGAUCUCUUGGUUCUCGCAUCGAUGAAGAGCGUAGCAAAGUGCGAUAAUUAUUGCGACUUGCAUUCAUAGCGAAUCAUCGAGUUCUCGAACGCAUCUUGCGCCUAGUAGUCAAUCUACUAGGCACAGUUGUUUCAGUAUCUGCAACUACCAAUCAGUUCAACUUGGUUCUUUGAACCUGAACGAACUGGAAAUGGGCUUGUGUUGAUGGCAUUCAGUUGCUGUCAUGGCCUUAAAUACAUUUAGUCCUUGGCAUUGGCUUUAGUCCUCUGCCGGAUGUAGACUCUAGAGUGCCUGAGGAGCAACGGCU